rnacentral:rRNA from 1 species
GAUGAACGCUGGCGGCGUGCCUAAUACAUGCAAGUCGAGCGAACGGACGAGAAGUUUGCUUCGCUGAUGUUAGCGGCGGACGGGUGAGUAACACGGGGAUAACCUACCUAUAAGACGGGGAUAAGUUCGGGAAACCGGAGCUAAUACCGGAUGAUAUUGUGAACCGCAUGGUUCAAAAGUGAAAGAGGGUCUUGCUGUCACUUAUAGAUGGAUCCGCGCUGCAUUAGCUAGUUGGUAAGGUAAGGGCUUACAAAGGCAACGAUGCAUAGCCGACCUGAGAGGGGGAUCGGCCCCCCGGGAACUGAGACCCGGCCCAGACCCCUCGGGGAGGCAGCAGUAGGGAAUCUGCAGAAAUGGGCGAAAGCCUGACGGAGCAACGCCGCGUUGGUGAUGAAGGUCUUCGGAUCGUAAAAAUCUGUUAUUAGAAAAGAACAUAUGUGUAAGUAACUGUGCACAUCUUGACGGUACCUAAGCAGAAAGCCACGGCUACCUACGU